AUCUUCCCUUAGCUCCUGACUCGUCUUGCUCAAGAGACCAAAGGGAAGAUGGAAGGCCCUCUCCCCAGGCUAAGGUCCUUCUCUUUCCCACUUCAAGAUGACAGGAGCAUGUGCAGGGUGCUGCGGCCCUCGUCUCAAAGACAAAGCUGGGACCAUCAUGUAUUUCAAUGGAUUUUUGGAAAAAUCAGCUGAAGGAAUAGGAAAACCUUGAAAGAAGAAUAACUUAGAAGAUCAAGUAAAGCUAAGUAAAAAACACAAUGCAAAGUGAGCGGUUUUCAAGAGAUUAAAAAGUCUUUGAGAGAAA